UACGAAGGGGGCUAGCGUUGUUCGGAUUUACUGGGCGUAAAGCGCGUGUAGGCGGGUCGUAAGUUGGGGGUGAAAUCCCGAGGCUCAACCUCGGAACUGCCUUCAAAACUGGCGACCUGGAGCAAAGAAGAGGCGAGUGGAAUUGCGAGUGUAGAGGUGAAAUCGUAGAUAUUCGCAGGAACACCAGUGGCGAAGGCGACUCGCUGGUCUUUUGCUGACGCUGAGACGCGAAAGCGUGGGGAGCAAACAGG
rnacentral:rRNA from 1 species